AUCAGAUUGAUCAGAAUGAAUAGAUGAAACUUUACCUAACAUCUGAGCAGCAAGCUGAGCUGGGUCAGCUGGGACGUAGGCAAACUCUGAUUUCACUCACUGCUUGGGCUGUAUUUCCCUGCAUAAGAAUUUGAAAGUGUCCUCAGGAAGAAAGCCUCUGUGAAUAUGGGCUGAAUUUCUAGGAAUCCUUUCUCCCAAGAAUCUAGCAUCAUUCAACAGAUUUACUGAAUUAAACCAUCUUUAAAAAACCAGAAGUGAUCCAGCAAUCCCACUGCUGGGUGUAUACCCAAAUGGAAAUCAGUCUACAGAAGAGAUAUCUGCACUCCCAUG